rnacentral:lncRNA from 1 species
AGUACAUUUCAGAAACUCGUUUGACACAUCUAAUGGUCUCGGAUUUAGCUGAAAUUUUGCAGAAACGUACUACUCAUGAUAAAGUUAUUACAGUAAAAAUUUCAAGUUAUUUGAACCACGGGAAUACCCUCAAAAGUAUCCCUCAAUACCCUGUUCUGUACAGCCAAGAACUGACAGCAGGGGUAUCUCUUACUUCAACUCAACAAAAUACAUAUCUUGGCUAAAUAAAGUGAUGUAGGG